CGUAGGGGGCAAGCGUUGUCCGGAUUUAUUGGGCGUAAAGCGCUCGCAGGUGGUUCGUCGCGUCGUGCGUGAAAGACCCUGGCUCAACUGGGGGAUGUCGUGCGAUACGGGCGAACUGGAGGCCAGUAGGGGGAUGCGGAAUUCCGGGUGUAGUGGUGGAAUGCGUAGAGAUCCGGAGGAACACCAGCGGCGAAGGCGGCAUCCUGGACUGGUCCUGACACUCAGGAGCGAAAGCGUGGGGAGCGAUCCGGAUUAGAUACCCGGGUAGUCCACGCUGUAAACGAUGAGCACUAGGUGUCGGGGGUAUCGACCCCCUCGGUGCCGCAGCUAACGCGCUAAGUGCUCCGCCUGGGGAGUACGGCCGCAAGGCUA
rnacentral:rRNA from 1 species